rnacentral:rRNA from 1 species
UAUCUCUGUAGAGUCUGCAUAUCAAUAAGCGGAGGAAAAGAAACUAACUAGGAUUCCCUCAGUAACGGCGAGUGAAGCGGGAAGAGCUCAAAUUUGAAAUCUUCAAGGUUCUACCUUGACGAAUUGUAGUUUAAAGAAGUGUUUUCUGUUGGAGUUUUGGUAAAAGUUCUUUGGAAUAGGACAUCAUAGAGGGUGAGAAUCCCGUAUUUGACCAUUAUUUCCAGCUUUGUGAUACACUUUCAAAGAGUCGGAUUGUUUGGGAAUGCAGUCCAAAAUGGGUGGUAAAUUCCAUCUAAAGCUAAAUAUUGGCGAGAGACCGAUAGCGAACAAGUACCGUGAGGGAAAGAUGAAAAGAACUUUGAAAAGAGAGUUAAACAGUACGUGAAAUUGUCAAAAGGGAAGCGUUUGACACCAGUGUUGUUUUCUCGAAAAUCAAUUAAAAAAGGCAGGAUUUUGUGUUGUAUUGACUUUAUCAGCUUUCUGCACUCCUUUCUUGUCUUUUUUUAAUGCACUUUUCGUUUAACAAGUCAACAUCAGUUUCUUUUGUUGUAAAAGGGUCAUUGGAAGGUGGCUUUCUUUUCGGAGAAAGUGUUUAUAGCCUUUGGCCUCUGCAAUCGGAGAGAUUGAGGUCUGCAGCGUAGAUCCUUCGGGGUUAGAUACAUUUGUGCUAAGUUAUAGCCUUUCAUAGACAACUUGUUGACUAUGAUCAGUCAUGUAACUUACUCGCUUAUGCUAUUUUACCUACGCUUAGGAUGUUGAUAGUCACAGCGUGUAC